CUUCGGGUUAGUGGCGGACGGGUGAGUAACGCGUGAGAAUCUGCCCUCAGGAGGGGGAUAACGGUUGGAAACGACCGCUAAUACCCCAUAUGCCGAGAGGUGAAAUGAAAUUCGCCUGAGGAUGAGCUCGCGUCUGAUUAGCUAGUUGGUAAGGUAAUGGCUUACCAAGGCACUGAUCAGUAGCUGGUCUGAGAGGAUGAUCAGCCACACUGGGACUGAGACACGGCCCAGACUCCUACGGGAGGCAGCAGUGGGGAAUUUUCCGCAAUGGGCGCAAGCCUGACGGAGCAACGCCGCGUGAGGGAUGAAGGCCUCUGGGCUGUAAACCUCUUUUAUCAAGGAAGAAGAACUGACGGUACUUGAUGAAUAAGCCACGGCUAAUUCCGUGCCAGCAGCCGCGGUAAUACGGGAGUGGCAAGCGUUAUCCGGAAUUAUUGGGCGUAAAGCGUCCGCAGGCGGUUUUACAAGUCUGUCGUUAAAGCGUGGAGCUCAACUCCAUUUC
rnacentral:rRNA from 1 species